rnacentral:rRNA from 1 species
GACGAACGCUGGCGGCGUGCCUAAUACAUGCAAGUUGAGCGCUGAAGGUUGGUACUUGUACCAACUGGAUGAGCAGCGAACGGGUGAGUAACGCGUGGGGAAUCUGCCUUUGAGCGGGGGACAACAUUUGGAAACGAAUGCUAAUACCGCAUAAAAACUUUAAACACAAGUUUUAAGUUUGUAAGAUGCAAUUGCAUCACUCAAAGAUGAUCCCGCGUUGUAUUAGCUAGUUGGUGAGGUAAAGGCUCACCAAGGCGAUGAUACAUAGCCGACCUGAGAGGGUGAUCGGCCACAUUGGGACUGAGACACGGCCCAAACUCCUACGGGAGGCAGCAGCAGGGAAUCUUCGGCAAUGGACGAAAGUCUGACCGAGCAACGCCGCGUGAGUGAAGAAGGGUUUCGGAUCGUAAAACUCUGUUGGUAGAGAAGAACGUUGGUGAGAGUGGAAAGCUCAUCAAGUGACGGUAACUACCCAGAAAGGGACGGCUAACUACGUG